rnacentral:rRNA from 1 species
AGUGAACGCUGGCGGUAGGCCUAACACAUGCAAGUCGAACGGCAGCACAGUAAGAGCUUGCUCUUACGGGUGGCGAGUUGCGUACGGGUGAGGAAUACAUCGGAAUCUACUUUUUCGUGGGGGAUAACGUAGGGAAACUUACGCUAAUACCGCAUACGACCUACGGGUGAAAGCAGGGGAUCUUCGGACCUUGCGCGAUUGAAUGAGCCGAUGUCGGAUUAGCUAGUUGGCGGGGUAAAGGCCCACCAAGGCGACGAUCCGUAGCUGGUCUGAGAGGAUGAUCAGCCACACUGGAACUGAGACACGGUCCAGACUCCUACGGGAGGCAGCAGUGGGGAAUAUUGGACAAUGGGCGCAAGCCUGAUCCAGCCAUACCGCGUGGGUGAAGAAGGCCUUCGGGUUGUAAAGCCCUUUUGUUGGGAAAGAAAAGCAGCAGGUUAAUACCCCGCUGUUAUGACGGUACCCAAAGAAUAAGCACCGGCUAACUUCGUG